rnacentral:rRNA from 1 species
AUUGAACGCUGGCGGCAGGCCUAACACAUGCAAGUCGAACGAGUGGCGGACGGGUGAGUAAUGUCUGGGGAACUGCCCGAUAGAGGGGGAUAACUACUGGAAACGGUGGCUAAUACCGCAUACUAUCGGAUGUACCCAUAUGGGAUUAGCUAGUUGGUGGGGUAACGGCUCACCUAGGCGACGAUCCCUAGCUGGUCUGAGAGGAUGAUCAGCCACACUGGAACUGAGACACGGUCCAGACUCCUACGGGAGGCAGCAGUGGGGAAUAUUGCACAAUGGGCGCAAGCCUGAUGCAGCCAUGCCGCGUGUAUGAAGAAGGCCUUAGGGUUGUAAAGUACUUUCAGCGGGGAGGCGUUACCCGCAGAAGAAGCACCGGCUAACUCCGUGCCAGCCGCCGCGGUAAUAC